rnacentral:rRNA from 1 species
UACGGGGGGGGGCAAGCGUUGUUCGGAAUUACUGGGCGUAAAGCGUGCGCAGGCGGUUAUGCAAGACAGAGGUGAAAUCCCCGGGCUCAACCUGGGAACUGCAUUUGUGACUGCAUCGCUGGAGUGCGGCAGAGGGGGAUGGAAUUCCGCGUGUAGCAGUGAAAUGCGUAGAUAUGCGGAGGAACACCGAUGGCGAAGGCAAUCCCCUGGGCCUGCACUGACGCUCAUGCACGAAAGCGUGGGGAGC